rnacentral:rRNA from 1 species
GACGAACGCUGGCGGCGUGCUUAACACAUGCAAGUCGAACGCUGAAGCUUGGUGCUUGCACUGGGUGGAUGAGUGGCGAACGGGUGAGUAAUACGUGAGUAACCUGCCCUUGACUCUGGGAUAAGCCUGGGAAACUGGGUCUAAUACUGGAUACGACAUGCCACUGCAUGGUGGUGUGUGGAAAGGGGUUUACUGGUUUUGGAUGGGCUCACGGCCUAUCAGCUUGUUGGUGGGGUAAUGGCCUACCAAGGCGACGACGGGUAGCCGGCCUGAGAGGGUGAUCGGCCACACUGGGACUGAGACACGGCCCAGACUCCUACGGGAGGCAGCAGUGGGGAAUAUUGCACAAUGGGCGGAAGCCUGAUGCAGCGACGCCGCGUGAGGGAUGACGGCCUUCGGGUUGUAAACCUCUUUCAGCACGGAAGAAGCGAGAGUGACGGUACGUGCAGAAGAAGCGCCGGCUAACUACGUG